rnacentral:rRNA from 1 species
AGAGUUUGAUCAUGGCUCAGAAUGAACGCUGGCGGCGCGCCUAAUACAUGCAAGUCGAGCGAGAAGACGUAGCAAUACGUUUGUAAAGCGGCGAACGGGUGAGGAAUACAUGGGCAACCUACCCUUGAGUGGGGAAUAACUAGCCGAAAGGUUAGCUAAUACCGCGUACGCUUCUUGGACUUCGGUCCAGGGAGGAAAGCGAUACCGAGGGUAUCGCGCUCUUGGAUGGGCUCAUGUCCUAUCAGCUUGUUGGUGAGGUAACGGCUCACCAAGGCUUCGACGGGUAGCUGGUCUGAGAGGACGAUCAGCCACACUGGCACUGCGACACGGGCCAGACUCCUACGGGAGGCAGCAGUAAGGAAUAUUGCGCAAUGGGCGAAAGCCUGACGCAGCGACGCCGCGUGGGGGAUGAGGGUCUUCGGAUUGUAAACCCCUUUCGGGAGGGAAGAUGGAAUGGGGUAACCCAUUCGGACGGUACCUCCAGAAGCAGCCACGGCUAACUUCGUGCCAGCAGCCGCGGUAAUACGAAGGUGGCAAGCGUUAUUCGGAUUUACUGGGCGUACAGGGAGCGUAGGCGGUUCGGUAAGCCCUUUGUGAAAUCUCCAGGCUUAACCUGGAACAGUCGGAGGGGACUGCUGGGCUA